UACGUAGGUGGCAAGCGUUGUCCGGAAUUAUUGGGCGUAAAGCGCGCGCAGGCGGUCUCUUAAGUCUGAUGUGAAAUCCCGUGGCUUGACCACGGGCGGUCAUUGGAAACUGGGGGACUUGAGUGCAGAAGAGAAGAGCGGAAUUCCACGUGUAGCGGUGAAAUGCGUAGAGAUGUGGAGGAACACCAGUGGCGAAGGCGGCUCUUUGGUCUGUAACUGACGCUGAGGCGCGAAAGCGUGGGGAGCGAACAGG
rnacentral:rRNA from 1 species